CAGGUGGAUCACUCUGCAAUUUUGAGCAAUUUUCUUUUGUAAAAUUGCACGGUAUCCAUCUGUA
rnacentral:pre_miRNA from 1 species